GCGGGCCGCUGACCUCAGCGGGGAGGAAGGCCUUUGAGGCUUGGAGGCCCGGCUGAUGGAGAGACUGAAGAAUUCGCAGCUGGCUCUGUGUGUGUGUUCUAUUUCCACGGUACCGGAAGAGGGAGCAACAGCCCAGCCGUUGCCAUGGUCACCAGCAGCCAGAGUGAUGUGAGCUGGGGCACAGGGGCUCCUACCUCCAGGAGCCUCCUUAACCUGCCCUUCCCUCCCUGCCUGUUGAAAUGUGGGUGUUGCUAUCAGAUGCAGUCCCAGGAACAGGUGUGGAUGUCCCCCACAUCAUCCUCGAUGCACCACCCCCCAGGCUGAGUGUAUAGGAAUCCCAGGCUGAGAUCCAAGAAUAUUAACAGAGGGCCCAGCCUGGUGGGGCAAAAUAGAAAGAAAGAAGAAAGGGCCACCAGGAACAGAGGAGUCAUAGUAUAGGCAUCAAAUCCCAGCAAUAACCCUGGUGGCAACCAGUCAACACCCAUGUUCAGCAGGGAAGCAAUGACAGAAGCCAGACCUUCCACCUUCAGCACCCCUCAAUGACCUUGGGUCCAUACUCCCAGAGGGAUAAAGAAUAGGAAAGCUAUCAGGGGAGGGGAUGGAGUAUGGAGAUCUGGUGGUGGG